rnacentral:miRNA from 1 species
GCGGAUUUCCAGUCCUCGCACGAAGCUCCUCGCUGCGAGUGAUGCAUGAGCACUUUCAUCCAAUCACAAUGCUAAACCGUUAAUUUUAAUUAGAUGCAUGCACUCGCUGCGAGCUGCAAGGAGCUUCGUGCGAGGACUGGAAAUCCGCCU